rnacentral:rRNA from 1 species
GAUGAACGCUGGCGGCGUGCCUAAUACAUGCAAGUCGAGCGAACAGACGAGGAGCUUGCUCCUCUGACGUUAGCGGCGGACGGGUGAGUAACACGUGGAUAACCUACCUAUAAGACUGGGAUAACUUCGGGAAACCGGAGCUAAUACCGGAUAAUAUAUUGAACCGCAUGGUUCAAUAGUGAAAGACGGUUUUGCUGUCACUUAUAGAUGGAUCCGCGCCGCAUUAGCUAGUUGGUAAGGUAACGGCUUACCAAGGCAACGAUGCGUAGCCGACCUGAGAGGGUGAUCGCCCACACUGGAACUGAGACACGGUCCAGACUCCUACGGGAGGCAGCAGUAGGGAAUCUUCCGCAAUGGGCGAAAGCUUUACGGAGCAACGCCGCGUGAGUUAUGAAGGUCUUCGGAUCGUAAAACUCUGUUAUUAGGGAAGAACAAAUGUGUAAGUAACUAUGCACGUCUUGACGGUACCUAAUCAGAAAGCCACGGCUAACUACGUG